UACAGAGGGUGCAAGCGUUAAUCGGAAUUACUGGGCGUAAAGCGUGCGUAGACGGUUAUUUAAGUCAGGUGUGAAAGCCCCGGGCUCAACCUGGGAAUUGCAUUUGAGACUGAAUAGCUAGGGUGCGGAAGAGGGAAGCGGAAUUUCCGGUGUAGCGGUGAAAUGCGUAGAUAUCAUCAGGAACACCAGAGGCGAAGGCGGCUCACUGGGUCUCUUCUGACGCUGAGGAACGAAAGCUAGGGGAGCAAACGGG
rnacentral:rRNA from 1 species